rnacentral:lncRNA from 1 species
AUACAUUGUAUUUAUCCUUACAGUAUUUUCUUGAUUCUAAUUAUAACUCUUUUUUGUCCAACCAUAGAAAGAGAAUGGAAAAGGGAAAAUGUGAGUACAGAGAAAUUGGCACUGAUUUCCAUCACAAAAAGAGACUCUACAAAGCUCUGGAGGAAAGUUACACCACCGCAUAGGCUGAUGUUGGGUUGCAUAAAUGGUGACAAAAUUUGCAUCUUUGUAUUCAAGAAGAGUAUGGAGUUACUUGGUGAAGAUCACUACAUAUGUUAAAUCCUUUCAACAUGUACUAUAAAUAUUAAAAAUCUGUGGCUAUUAAAUUACGUGAAAGCAAAUGACUUGUGAGUAAUCACAAAUACCUGUUCUGCUCCCACUUAUUACUUGUUUUCUAAAAGGUAGCAUGGGAAUGAAAUGCAAACAUAACAUAAAAGAGUAUGACUUCCUGUUAAAUGAUGCUUUAUCAUAUAAUGGAAUAAUACAGUCUAAUUCAAUAUAGGACUAAACCAACAUUUGAAUUAAAUGAGAAUUCCUGAAGCCAGGAGCAUCAGUACUCUAAAGUGUAUCCUGUUUAUAUAUCUCUCCAGAAGUUUCUGUUUUCUUUUUUAAUUGCUCCUGUGGAACUGCAAAAAGUUACAAAGAGUUAGACUUGACUGAGCGACUGAGCACAUGGCACGUGGAACAGCAAAGAACUUUAGAUGUAAAUAAAUUUCACAAAUCAUGAGUCA